UAUAAUUUUCAUUUAAGAGUACGAACAUGAAGUAUAUCUAUCUCAACUAAUUCAUUUUCUUGUUUCUCUUUUAUCUUAUCAUAUUCUACAUUUCAGAUAGGAGAUCAAAGAUGUGCUAAAUUCACACCACACUUUCCAGGGAAAAGAUGAUGCUGCAACUUAAGCUAGGGAAAAUAAUUUGCAACCUGUGAAUACUGAAAGAGUUCAAAUGUUUACUGGGCUUUUUUGUUGGGGGAAUUUGAUUCUAUACCCAAAUUGACACACCUCUUUUAGAAUAAACCCAACCAUAAGAGUGUUUUAAUAUACACCAAAAUCAAUUAAUUUUUUUUAUGCAAAAUAAAAAAACCUAUUAAAUAGAAUAAAUAAUAAAACUCAAUGUUGUUAAGAAUUACUAAAGCUGCCACUAUCAAAUUUCUCAUUCACCUAUUAAAUAUGAUUGAUAAUAAAAUCCAAAUUUGUUGCCGAUGGAAGUCGAUCAUGAAACGGCUGCCCAUAGACGUCGCCUAAAAUUACUCAACCCUUGAUUUCAGCAAUUGAAAAUUCUCCUCUGGGUUGGAGGUUACGUAAUCUCCAUAUUGAAGAGUCUAAUCUGUACAUUCAAAGCCGGUGUCAAUAUCUCUACAAGCUUGUGAUAUAAAUGGAUUGCACAAUCAGAGGUUGGUGGGUUGCCUGUGUUCGACAGCAUAUCCGAUUGGUACGGUUGAUGAGUAUUGUGGUUGCUACCUAUUCAAAAGGUGUGUGUGCUCCUGACGAAGAGGUUUUUGCUAUUGAGUAGGUAUGAUAGACUAUACAAGUUCUUGAUUGCAGGUUUUUGUUUCAUCUUCUUGUUUCUCAAUAGAUACUACAAGUUAAUUUUGAUGGCUAAAGAGUACACCCACCUGGAAUUUAGGUGCGACCUUCUCAAGUUUGGACGUGUUAUGACCGACGAGUUAAGGGCAGAUAUUACUGAAGUGAAGCUUGAUCUGAUAGAGUCCACACCGUUCAGGGAUUUGUUUAGAGCUUUUUAUGAGCGGCAAAUAAUAGACUCUGCUUGUAGGUGACAUUCCAGAACUGUUUGGUUUGAAUAUUGAAGGUCGUGAGAUCAACCUUAACCAGAAGAAGAGAAAAGGG